rnacentral:rRNA from 1 species
GUGGGGAAUAUUGCACAAUGGGGGAAACCCUGAUGCAGCGACGCCGCGUGAGUGAAGAAGUAUUUCGGUACGUAAAGCUCUAUCAGCAAGGAAGAAAAUGACGGUACUUGACUAAGAAGCCCCGGCUAACUACGUGCCAGCAGCCGCGGUAAUACGUAGGGGGCAAGCGUUAUCCGGAUUUACUGGGUGUAAAGGGAGCGUAGACGGUAUGGUAAGUCAGAUGUGAAAGCCCGGGGCUCAACCCCGGGACUGCAUUUGAAACUAUCAGACUAGAGUGCAGGAGAGGUAAGUGGAAUUCCUAGUGUAGCGGUGAAAUGCGUAGAUAUUAGGAGGAACACCAGUGGCGAAGGCGGCUUACUGGACUGUAACUGACGCUGAGGUUCGAAAGCGUGGGUAGCAAACAGGAUUAGAUACCCGAGUAGUCC